GCCGCUUUAGACUCAUUGACUUGGUUUCUUCGCUACAACUAAACACUGUCUCACCAUAAAAGGCUGAAAGAAAACGGUGGUGAAUGAAUGAAUGAACUGUGGGUUUGGUGAACAGCUUGGACUGACUGGACCAAAACAUUUCAGGAGCAACAAUCAGAAGAUGGGUUUUAUGGUUUCCUCACGACUCCUAAACCCAAACAUCACCCAGAACCUGUCAAACAUCAGAAGAGCAGCACGAAUAACAAAAAGUGAGAGAGAGAGAGAGAGGCUGGGGAUCAAUACUUUGCAGUGUAGCUGUGAGACAGGCGGCUGAUUUACUCGCGGUCUGGGCUGUGAUUGGUCCGUUCGGAGGUGGAGGAAGAGGAGGAGGAAGGCGAGGAGGUGGAGGGACGGCGGCGUGGUGGAGCAGCUGAGGUGAAAAUGUCCUUCUGCAGCUUUUUCUGUCUUCUUCUUUCCUUCUUUAAAGCCCCCUACACUAUCCCUCCAUCCUACACCUCCAUCCUACCCCUCCACCCCUCCAUCCCUCCGUACCGCCCCCUGCUCCCUCCACCCGACCCGACUUUAAUCUGAUGGCAUUACGAGACCCGAGGCAGGGAGGAAGGUGCGUUCGCGUGCAGACACUGUUACACACACACUUACACACACACACAC
rnacentral:lncRNA from 1 species